GAUGAACGCUGGCGGCGUGCCUAAUACAUGCGAGUCGAGCGAACAGACGAGGAGCUUGCUCCUCUGACGUUAGCGGCGGACGGGUGAGUAACACGUGGAUAACCUACCUAUAAGACUGGGAUAACUUCGGGAAACCGGAGCUAAUACCGGAUAAUAUAUUGAACCGCAUGGUUCAAUAGUGAAAGACGGUUUUGCUGUCACUUAUAGAUGGAUCCGCGCCGCAUUAGCUAGUUGGUAAGGUAACGGCUUACCAAGGCAACGAUGCGUAGCCGACCUGAGAGGCGGAUCGGCCACACUGGAACUGAGACACGGUCCAGAGUCCUACGGGAGGCCGCAGUAGCGAAUCUUCCGCAAUGGGCGAAAGCCUGACGGAGCAACGCCGCGUGAGUGAUGAAGGUCUUCGGAUCGUAAAACUCUGUUAUUAGGGAAGAACAAAUGUGUAAGUAACUAUGCACGUCUUGACGGUACCUAAUCAGAAAGCCACGGCUAACUACGUG
rnacentral:rRNA from 1 species